rnacentral:rRNA from 1 species
GACGAACGCUGGCGGCGCGCCUAAUACAUGCAAGUCGAGCGGAAGUUGGAGAGCUUGCUCUUCAACUUUAGCGGCGGACGGGUGAGUAACACGUGGGCAACCUGCCCUGCAGAUCGGGAUAACUCCGGGAAACCGGUGCUAAUACCGAAUAGUUUUCGCCACCCCCUGGUGGCGUACGGAAAGACGGUUUCGGCUGUCACUGCAGGAUGGGCCCGCGGCGCAUUAGCUAGUUGGUGGGGUAACGGCCCACCAAGGCGACGAUGCGUAGCCGACCUGAGAGGGUGAUCGGCCACACUGGGACUGAGACACGGCCCAGACUCCUACGGGAGGCAGCAGUAGGGAAUCUUCCGCAGUGGACGAAAGUCUGACGGAGCAACGCCGCGUGAGUGACGAAGGUUUUCGGAUCGUAAAACUCUGUUGUGAGGGAAGAACAAGUACCAACUAACUACUGGUACCUUGACGGUACCUCACCAGAAAGCCACGGCUAACUACGUGCCAGCAGCCGCCGUAA